GAUAGAACGCGUGGCGGCGUGACCUAAUACAUGCAAGUCGAACGAGGAACUUUAAUCUUCGGAUGAAAGUUUCCUAGUGGCGAACGGGUGAGUAACGCGUUGGUGACCUGCCCCAAAGGUGGGGGAUAACAGUUCGAAAGGACUGCUAAUACCGCAUAAGAUCAAUGGGAUUAGAUGCCUAUUGAUUAAAGGCGAAAGUCGCUUUGGGAGGGGCCUGCGUCCCAUCAGCUUGUUGGUAGGGUAAUAGCCUACCAAGGCUAAGACGGGUAGGGGACCUGAGAGGGUGGCCCCCCACACUGGCACUGAAACACGGGCCAGACACCUACGGGUGGCAGCAGUAGGGAAUAUUGGACAAUGGGCGAAAGCCUGAUCCAGCAACGCCGCGUGCGCGAUGAAGGCCUUCGGGUUGUAAAGCGCUUUUAGGGGAGAUGAGAAAGGACAGUAUCCUCUGAAUAAGCCUCGGCGAACUACGUG
rnacentral:rRNA from 1 species